CUGGGAAAACAGAUUCAGCUGACGCAGCUGACAGCAAACCAAUCUGACAGCUGGCUGCGAAGAAUAUAAAUAUUGAUAAAGUUUAGUUAAAUUAUACAAAUUAAAGAGCAUGUUUAGAAGUUAUAAUACCAUAAUUUCACAUACUAAUAUACAAAAUGUCAGCAGAGUACGCAGAAAUCAUAGCUAAAGACGAAGGAACUUCACACAAUCCAUUUUCAUUAUAUUGCUUUUGCCUUAUUGGUGGUAGCAGAAGAAGUCAAUACCUCAAAGAAUAUGAAAAGAAAAAGGGAUAGAUAAUAAUUAUAUUCAUAGAAUGCCUACAAAAUUUCUGCAGAAACUGACAAAUUGUCAAAUGUAUGGGUUGUCAGAAAAGAAGCUCUGAAGAAUGUACAAUAAUAGUACUACAUCGACGCCGAUCGAUAUGUCCUGAAACAAGGUUAGUACAUAUUCUAAAAUUAUUUAUAUAAUGUACUUCCUUUGAUUUUAAACAUUUAAUUGAUGACUUGUAAUAGGAAACCAAGAAAUGUGUGGAAUACCUUGCAAGAUGUGAAGGUAAAGCUGCUGGAUGUAAACUAAGAAAAUUAGUAAACAAUCCACUUAUGGGCGAUUCAUCAGGAAGCACAUUCAAACCUAAAACAGAAAUCUGCAUGCUCUGGAGGUGGCUGUGGCAAUUAAAAUUAUAUCAGCAUGAUAUAAUUGCAAGAAAAUUUAACACAUUCUUAUUUAUUUUAUAAGGGGAAUAAUAAUUUAAUAAUUUCUAUAAAUCUUAAUAUGUAUUUAAAUAAUUGACAAGAGAAAUAUUUGAAGCAUACAUGUUAAAUUGACUAAUAUUUGGAUUAUUGAACACUAAAAUAAAACAUGAAAUCAAAA